ACAGCCAUUUCACCUUUAGACAGUGGUUCUCGUCCAGUCACCGAAGUUAAGCAACAUCGAGCCUGAUUAGUAACUAGAUGGGUGACCACUUGGGAAUACCAGAUGUCGUAAG